CUCACUCAUCACACAACAUACUCUUUACUUGCUGGCAGAAGAGCAGGAGAAAGAACAGACCAAUAAGAGCAGAAUGGAGUCUUCAAGACAGCAAAGAGGCUCCAGGCCAGGUGAAUGCUGAUCCAACGAUUUGAGCAAAUCAAGGAUUAAAAGAAAAAAAAAUUGAGAAUUUAAGCAACCAUUCAAACCAAAGCAUCUCAGCCUCAGUGCUAUUGAUAUUCUAGGUUGUGUUAUGGUUGAACUGUGCUCCCCUAAAAUUCAUAUGUUGAAGUCCUAACCCUCAGUAACUCAGAA
rnacentral:lncRNA from 1 species